ACACUACUAUUGAUCCCUCCUAAAGAUUAAAAAAAUAAAAUUUAAGGCAGCUCCUAAUGCAAGGUUAGGCCUGUUAUUCGUCUAACCCGACUGGACUAUUUGGUUUUUGGUGUUAUUUCUUUCGAUGUUAUUUUCCAGUACUCUAUGAAUGUUAAAUCGAAGGAAGUAACAUCUAUUUAACAUCGCCAGGGCUUCGUAUAAGGUCAAGUGGUCAAGCCACUUAUCAAUAAUGUGGACCUAAUGUGUGUUUUCGGUUGUGUGUUUAUAUUAUUAUUUUAUUUAGCUAAUGCCUCGACAACUAAUGGCCAUUGGCAUGGUAGGUACGGUGAAUUUUUGCAGUUAGGUACCUAGUGUUUAUGCCCUCUUCUAGUUUAUUUAAUUUAAUGCCUUUUCUUAUGACGUGGCAACGUGGUAUUUUUUAUAUCGAUAUAUCCACAUGUCCUCAUACGAUAAGGGCAGUCGCCAAGAAGCAAUAGCCAAGAAAGGUUUGUAAAGCAUUUGUCGAGUCUUCAAACACCACGGCCAAAAUCAUAUGGGUGAAACAAUCCGUAAACAAUUAGCGUGCAUCUCUUCAAAGUGGUUCGUGUCGAUCUUUCACACGUUUGUAUCACUUGCAACCAGCAUCUUAUCGAAAGUUUUUAUAGCGUCAAAUUCACCUAGUGUCAUGUGUAGUGUGUGUGUUGAGUAAGUGUCUUGAUACUUGCAAAGUCGACGUCAUUGUCUUUGCAAAGAGACGCUGAUUGUAUCCGAACGUCUGCGGUCCCUCCGGUGAGUAGGUACCAGAAACAUGGACAGAAACUAUUUUUCAUUUAUUAAUUUAUAAUAAACGAAAAAUUUCUGACCCUGGUGAGAUUCGAACUCACGACCAGUUUAUAUUAUUUAAUGUAUGCAGAUAGAGAUAAAAAUACAGUAUCUGUUAAUAAGCGUUGAAACUUUGUACGUCAAAGAUAUACGAAUACAUAUCUUUAUCCACCGUUACAGUUUUCUUGUAAAACAGACUAAAAUUCCUGAGAAUAAUUAAUAUUGCCCCAUAUAUAAUUUGCUUCCCAAAGAGUGGCAGUUGUUUAUAAUUGGCGCCUAACGUGGCGCAUAUACGGCAUAUAUCUGAGAAAAUUACGGUUGGAUAAAUCAAAGUUUUUACUGUAUUUCACUAGUUUUAACGACAAACUCAACGGCAUUUUAACUUAACACUCUGUUAAAAUUUUAACACUGCUUACUCCACUUCAGAAAGAGAAGCUUUAGCUAUUGUUUGGACCUUUGGAGUUCAGAGGUUAUAUUGAAGGUACUAAAAUAACCCUAAGGACCUGCAGUACUAAAAUAACCUCUACAGUAUCUGUUAAUAAGCGUUGAAACUGUGUACGUCAAAGAUAUACGAAUACAUAUCUUUAUCCACCAUUACAGUUUUCUUGUAAAACAGACUAAAAUUCCUGAAAUUAAUUAAUAUUGCUCCAUAUAUUUAUAAUUUGCUUCCCAAAGAGUGGCAGUGGUUUAUAAUUGGUGCCUAACGUGGCGGCUAUAUCU
rnacentral:lncRNA from 1 species